rnacentral:lncRNA from 1 species
UUUGCUUGUUAACGCUCAUUCAAAUGAAAACAAAACACAUGGCUUUUGCUUAAGUGGUUACCAGUUGCCACAACCACAAGGCACAGGCUGGGACCAAUAUUGAUGAUGUUCAAGUUGAAGCACUUGACAAUAACCGGACAUGGUACCAUACUCACAUACUGUGGUCCUUUUCCUUUGCUCUUUUAAUAACACAACAUCGUUAUACAGUAAUGAAGCAUCAGAAAUUUGCUCCGUUAAAGUCAUCAGUAGCACAAACAGGCCAGUAAAUUUACAAUUUGACAACAGAAAUAUGCUGCUUUAUUCUUGCUUUCUACAGCUGUUGUACAUUUUGAUUCACGUUUGGUUGGUAGCAACAACACAUUGCAAACAUUUGUGUUGGCACCAUAAAUUUACUGUGUUCAAUUAACAUUGGCACCAUAAAUUUACUGUGUUCAAUUAACAUUUGCGUUUUUAAUGCCUAUACAAUUUCAGGUUACAAGAACAAGGUCCUGUUUGUUUUAUUGAAAAAAUUAACAAUUUGCGCCAAUCAAGGGAUGUAAUACAUGGGAUUUGGAAGCUUGAAAGAGCGACUGGGCAUGGGAGAACCCAAUAGAUCGCUCCAUUGGUCCCCAGAGUUUCCCAGAAUCCGGUAUCCCUCUUGUACCAUCUCGUUUCUCUUCUCCGAUUUGUAAAUUAUCGCCAGUUUCCCAUGGUCAUCAGAGGGCCUGCAUUUAAAUAAGCACCCAGGAUUCAGUUUGGAGGUAGCAAAGCAAAGUAUUCGAAGCAUGAUGAUUCUGGUAUGCAACCCUAGUAAUCAUAUCUGGAUCAUGAGUAUAUGGGUAUCUCAUCAGCAUGUGGGUGACAGGGAAAAAAAGGGGAUAGAAAACUCCACCAUGUAUU